rnacentral:lncRNA from 1 species
AGACCGUGUCACCAGUGUCAGGCUGGGAGAUGCUACUGUUACAGGCCGUCCUCCGGGGGGCAUCACUCGACAUCUCCUUCUUUUCCCCCCACGCAGAUGACAGAGAUGGAAAUACUGAGGCGACAAUGUCGAGACUUACCAAAGGGGUUUACCCAGCGGACUUCCCAUAAGGCUCUGCCACAGAGGGUGGAAUUGUGCGAGUUUGAUGGAAGCAGAAAAUUAGAUUACUG